AACGUAGGACGCAAGCGUUAUCCGGAGUUACUGGGCGUAAAGCGCGGGCAGGCGGUUCUGCCAGUCUGAUGUGAAAUCUCCUCGCUCAACGGGGAGCAGCCAUUGGAAACUACAGAACUGGAGUCUGACAGAGGUAGGCGGAAUUCCGGGUGGAGUGGUGAAAUGCGUAGAGAUCCGGAGGAACACCAGAGGCGAAGGUGGCCUACUGGGUCAGUACUGACGCUGAGCCGCGAAAGCGUGGGGAGCAAACAGG
rnacentral:rRNA from 1 species